rnacentral:rRNA from 1 species
AGAACGAACGCUGGCGGCAGGCUUAGCACAUGCAAGUCGAACGGUUGUAGCAAUACAGCAGUGGCAGACGGGUGAGUAACACGUGGGAACCUUCCUAGGGGUACGGAACAACUCAGGGAAACUUGAGCUAAUACCGUAUACGUCCGUGAGGAGAAAGAUUUAUCGCCCCUAGACGGGCCCGCGUAGGAUUAGGUAGUUGGUGAGGUAACGGCUCACCAAGCCUACGAUCCUUAGCUGAUCUGAGAGGAUGAUCAGCCACACUGGGACUGAGACACGGCCCCAGACUCCUACGGGAGGCAGCAGUGGGGAAUCUUGGACAAUGGGCGCAAGCCUGAUCCAGCCAUGCCGCGUGAGUGAAGAAAGGG